rnacentral:lncRNA from 1 species
GACGAACCACACAAUACAUUCAUUUGCCAGUUGACCUGCAGAGAGUCGGCUCACUCUGUGCCGGGUGAGUCCCGGACGGAGGCUGCCAUGGAUGGCUGGCCCUCACUGAGUCCCUGGGGCGACUGUGGAGGCUGCAGAAGGGUCUUGAAGGAGCACAGCCCUACUUCUCUCCCCACAGCAAUGCCUGCCCUUCCCAGCCUGUGACCUUCCCCAAGGCGGCUCUGCCCUGCCCCUCCUCCCCUAUGGUUCUGUCCACCUUCUUGCUAGAAUAGCAGAUAUGCCAGACACAGCCGAGGAGACACUCGGGGUGACUACUCCAGAGGGCAUGUUCAAAGGAUCAGUAAUGCACAGUUUGAAAGGCACCUCUGCUGACAGGAAAGAACAUAUUCUGUGUGUUGGAAAAAACUACCAUCAAAACCCCCCAACCAACUGGCACCAUCCCCAUAGUUUUUGGCAGCAACAGCAAAGCACGGAGCCCUGCCAGGAGAAACAGCUUUGAAUUAAAAUAUAAAGCUAAUCAGAAUAUGGAUCACACAAAGCUGCCAGUCAUUUGAUGUGUGUGGGGAGUAAAACACCCCUGCCCUGCUAAGAAACUGCCCAAGGUCAUUGUCUCUUAUCAGCAAUUCUCACAAA